ensembl:lncRNA
CCCUGCAGCAUACAGAGGUUCCCAGGCUAGGGGUCGAAUCAGACCUACAGUGGCCAGUCACAGCCAGAGCAACACAGGAUCCAAGCCGUGUCUGUGACCCACAUUACAGCUCAUGGCAACGCCGGAUCCUUAACCCACUGAGCAAGGCCAGGGAUCACACCUGCAACCUCAUGGUUACUAGUGGGAUUCAUUUCUGCUACACCACAAAGGGAAUGCCAGGACAGUGGUUUUUAAUCAGGGGCGAUCUCCCCUACCCAAGGGGCAUCUGGCAAAGUGGAGAGAUUUUUGAUGGUCACAACCAGGUGGGGGAUUCUACUGCACAUAGUGAACAGAGACCAAGGAUGUUGCUAAAGGACCUACAAUUUAAAGGACUUCUCCCCACACCCAAGAAUUAUUCAGCACAUAAUAUGAACAUGCUGCUGCUGAGAAAUUACAGUUCAAUGUUAAUUCCAAGUAUGUUUCAAAAUUAAGCGGGUGCUCAGAGCAUAAUAUCUCUCAUCAGAUUGCUUUUUAGACAUCUGCUACCGACUAGACAUAAGGGCAAGUGAUUUAUAGUUCAAAUUAGUGUAAAAAAUAACUUAUAGUUAAGAUGAAAAACUUGCUUUUCUUUUUCAGGGAACUGGUUUAUAAAGAAAGGGACUGCUUAAAAAAUUUUUUGUUUUGUUUCUUUAUUUCCAGGAAAUAUUCUUGCUUUUUUGUGUGUCAAUGCAUGUGAAGUAUUUAUGGAAUUUCCACACUUUUAAACCAUGAAUAGUGAAAAAACACUUAAAAAUAACUUAUUGGGCUGUAGAUUGAUUACAUGACUCGGCUGCAUGCAUGGUUUUUUUUUUUAUUACAGAUCUUGUGAAGAACAAAAAUGCUUAUUGUUUAUUUGAAUGCCCCACAGAAUAUGCAUCUAUUUCAGCUUUGAGAAGAAAAUUGAACAUUCAUUACAAGAAAGAUUACAGCUUGCUCCUGGAAUAUCUAAAACUUGGAGUCAUCAAAGUUUAUACAUUUCACAAAGGCUUUAUACUUUAAUAGGUUUAAAACUGUCAUGGGCUGGAAUGUCCUUGAGAAUGAGAGACAAUUCAAUUUUUACUGUGACCUUUUGGGUCUAGGUGGUGGUUAACCUUUCCAUGAGACCCUGCCAUCUUGCAUGUUGGGAGAUGAUCAUGAUAUUACAAAACUCUUAAGUCAACAAGAGCAUGAUGUCUUUCUAUAAUGUUUCAUCAAGUGGUUGGAUUGAUAAUGAGAAACAUUUUCAAAGGCAGAACCUUAAUAUAGACUUUUCAAACUCUUAUGAAUUCACAUCAGUAGAACUAAUAAGCUUACUGUCACUAGGCUAGUGUGUGAAUCUAUUAAGUGAAACUAAUUUCACUUAAUCUUAAUUAAUUUUCAAUUUCUACUUUGUCUCUUCAUUUUCUGCUUUAUUCUCUUAAUUACAGCUUAUGCUUAGCUUUGCUGAUAAUAGAAAUCAAAAUUAAACCAGGAGAGAGAGCCAAGUCCAAAUCUGCUUAGGUGGCCGGAAACAUCUUACUGAAAUAUCCGGAAUCAUACUAUUAUUAGUACUAGAAUUUGCAUAAAAUUACUCAGAAAGAAGCUAUAAAUUACAACCAUUCUCUAUAGCUACUGAACUACUUUAAUAUAUAUACAAAACUGAAGAAUCCUACAGUCUUUUCUGAAGGGAAUUUUGGACUGUCAUAGUCAGUCACAUGAUCAAACACCACCAUUGGUUGAUACUUAUUAUUUAAUCAAAUUUCUAAGUACUUGGUCUUGUUUCCUAAAUGAAUUCUUUCUUUUAUAAUAAAACAUUUUUAAUCUUAAUUUCUGAUUUUUUUAAACUUUCUUGACAUUGACAAAACCUACUUUCCUCAUGACUUUUCUGCUGAAACGUCAUUGUAUCACCCUGGGCCAAUGCAGAAAGCUGUUCCCAGGCUCCCUCUGACACUUUGAACCCAGGUUGUUAUAGAAGCCACAUCUCUUUCAUUGUCAGCUCCAUGUGCUACAAGAAUGGUUUAGGUGUCUGAGCUUUUAAUCGUUCCCCAUGACACUGUCAGAAAAGGAACGUGGGUAUCUUGCAGCUCUGCCCAAUGUAUUGCCAUGUCCACCUUGUCACAUGGCAAGAAUAACCUAAUGAGGGCAGAGGAAAAACUCCUUUUUUGGUAUCCACUUGAGAACUUCCAGUUCAAAAAGGACAUCUAGUUAGUUGUCUCCAAAACAAACUCUUCUACAGCAAAAGGUUAAAGUUUACACUGUGAUUCAAAGCAAAAACAAAACCAUGUACCUAUUGCCAGAAACUGGACUAAUCCCAACUAAGUCUUCCUGGCUGGUGGAAUGAGUCUAAACAAUACCAGAAGCAGUCCUGAAAAUUAGCCUGAGACCCUUCCAACCAUUUUCAAUCAUCUGCUGCCAACACAGAACUCAAGCAUCAAUCAGGAAACACAAGGGCUGCCUUGGUGUCACAAGGGUGCAGCAGUUCUUCUACUUCUUCUACUCCUGGACUAAAGCUCCUAGAAAGCAACUCUAUAUAAAAGAAAAGAGUGGUGAGGCAGGGGAUGGGGGAGAAGAGGAUGAUGGGAGAUGAAAGUAGAAAUAGGAAGACUACUGUUUGAAUUGUACUAUCUUAUAUCAUCCAUGUGUUCAAAGCCAGAGAGCCAAACAAUGGAGCUGAGAAGAUCCCAUCUCAUGCAAGAGGGUUUUGCAUGUUAUGGAAGGGGAAUUAGGGUAGGAGCUGCAGGCACAUCCACCUGCCAUCCACAAGGAGGUCUGAAAAAAAAAUUUGACCAGGAACCAACUGGACAAAAAAAGAGAGCCAAAAUUAAUACAUAAUCCUGUCUUUUGAACUCUGGAUCUGGGUAGAUCUCUUAUUUAAAUAGGGAAGAAAAUCAUACAUAAAAAUAAGAGAAGAAAAAUAGAAUACCAUCCAGAAGUCACAGAGAAAGAGGCUAUCUCCGAAAAAUAUUUACUAUAGGAAUGAGAAGAAAAAUGUAGCAAAUGGCAUUGCCAUGGGAUAAAACAAGAAGACAGGGUCACUAUAAAAUAGGAAGAGGAAUCUGUAUUAGAUGAAAUUGUAGUUAGGUAAAUUAGAUGCACUAACAAAGUUAAAGCAGUAAAGAGUUGAAGGGACAUUAUAAACAAUCAAAUACAUAUUAUGAACCAUAACAAUAAGAACUAGAGAAGUUCUACCAGGAUAUAGAGAGAAAGAACAAACGUUAAAAACGAUGAGAACAAAGGGUAUGCAUGGAGGCCAGAGGAUGGGGAGCCAACCCCAGAAUUAUAGGUGUUCCAGGAGAAAAAUAAAUAACAAGUAGAACAGAAGCAAUUAUUCAAAGAUAUAAUUAAAUAAAGGUUCCCUGAGUUGAAAGAAAGGAAUGAACAAGCGGAUCAAAAGGGCUCACUGUGUUCAAAGUGAAUUAAAUGAAAAGAGAACUUUGUAGCUUUUGAAUUACAGGGAUGGAAAAAAAGAGAGUAAGCAUUCAUGCAGGAAAAUAGGUGAAAAACAAAAGAACAAAGCUUAGCUGGCCUUACACUGACUUUUCCCCUGGACACAAUGGAGCCAUGUCUACAGAAUUUUGAAGGAAAAAAUUGUUACAUGAGCAUUUGAUAGUUGGCCAAGCUUUAAAAAUAUCUAAUAUGAAAUAAGACAUUUACCAAUCCCCUCAAAAUAUGCCAACCAUCUAAUUUUUCUGAAAACAAUUUACCCUGCAGAGACAUAUUUUAAUACAUGAAAUUUAAGACGAGUUAAACCAAGGUACAGCACGACUGCUCCAUUACCCAGGGGUACCAGGGAUGGGCAGGAACACAGUUAACUUCCCAAGUCCCAAGACCAACUGUCAUUCCAGCAAAUGUGUUUAAACUGGCCACAUUAACAAAGCCACAAGAAUUUGAAGGAAUUGCUGCCUCUUUCUACACCGUCAUCUGGAUGAAGCCUCAAAGCCUAAAAGAGUUUCGUUACAAAUUGUGGCUCAUUGUUAAGGGGACAUCUUUUGAAUUCUUCACGAGUUCAUCUAAUGAAUCUUUGAGAUGAAAUCCACCACUAAUUUCAGAAAUACGUAUAUUGAUGAUAAGCUCUAUUAAACAACUCUUUUCUUAUCAAAAAGGGUCAGCAUGGCAGAGUGAUGAAGAAUGUGAGUUCUAUGGGGAGAUGCCUGCAUUUUACCCCUUUCUCCUUCACCGACUCCUCAUCAUCUUCUUGGGCAAAGCAUUUAAUCUCCAGAGACCUCCGUUUCCUCACCUGUAAAAUGGAAAUAUUAUAGAAUUUUCUGCAAGGCAUUUUUUUUUUUUUUUGCAAAGUUAAAUAAGUCAACACAUUCAAGGUACUCAGUGCCUGGCACACUAGCUGCUAAAAACAAGACAGGAAUGUAUGCUAUGGGUAACAUGGUGAAACAUGUUAUGUAUACAUCACUUCAGACAGGAGAUACAUUUGUGCUUUCUUGACACUGCGGUGAUUUGUUUGUUUCUAUGUAUCUCUAGUUUACAAGAGUUUACUUAAUGAGCUUUCCUUACCAGUUGAACAAAGUAUAAGUGUGAAGAAAAAUGGUCCCUUAACAAUAAAAAUAAAUGAUAGCUAUUUAUUAUAAUUCCACAUUGAUUAUAGCACCAAUAGGCUGUAUGAGUGAACAUAUUCCUUUUAAUCCCCCUGAUUUUCUGCCACUUGGACUUGAAUCUUUCUUAGUAUCCGGGGGGCGAUGACAAUACUUCCUUUUAGUGGUUUGUGGAAGGAGUGGUUACACUGAUGAUUCCAGCUCUUUGCUUGGCUUUCCUUUAUAAAAGAUUUUGUCCUAAGAAAGCAAGUUGGAAGAGACAAGAGCCAAGGAGGCUUGGGGCAGAAUUGUUACUGGCCUGUCCCAUUUCUGUCAUGCCUGUUUCCUCUGUGGAUCUGUCCCCAGCUACAGCAGUGAAGGAAUACAUUUGUUCCAACUGCUUUUGUGGUGAAGCAAUUCUCUGUUAAGCUCAUGUGUCCACGUUGCACAUGACAGUGGAAUCGAACAGCCAGCUCCUGAGUUAACCCUAGUAGGCAGGUAUAUACGAGAUAGCUAAGGUGUAGAGGUGGGGGAAGGUUGCUGUACUGGCUUAGCUUUUCUAAUUUUUAAUUUUUCCUCUUUAGCCUGUCCUUUGCUCUUUUGUGCUUUAUUCCCUGAUAUAGAAUAUGUGGCACAGCUUCUUUCAAAAAACCCUUCUAAACGUCUGUGCUCUAAUGCCACAUCUCAUUCUAACAAAACCUCUAUGGUUUUAGUGGCCGAGUCCGAGACCAUGUAUUCCAUGUCAAUAAUUGAACAUUUCAUUUUUGGAGAAAACCAGGCAUGUCACCAUGGUUUGUAAGUAUCUCAUAAAGCCUAAUUUGAGAUGCAUUUUUUUUUUAACCAAGCUUUUUUGCAAUUUAUCUCAUUUCUUCUGAUACAUUUUUUGUUUGUUUGUUUGUUUAAUGACACCGUCAGUGUAUUGCUUGCUUUGAAUCAAUCUCUCCAGCUGUUUCAAAUUUUUCUAAAUUUCUUUUUGGUUGUUGUUGCUUGUGUGCAUUCCUCAAGCCUCCCUACCUACAGAUUUUUUAAAAAUUCAGUGUCUUACUAGAGGUGCCAUUGUUACUAGCCUCACUCUGCUAUCAAUUCUAUUAAAGUCAACUUCCUAAGUAUGGGGUCAUUAUAAAAGCUGCCCCACAUAGUGACUGUCUGGAGCUCCGGUUUCCAAUAUUGCAGAGCUAAAAUGAUCUAGAACACUUACUGUGUGCCGCACAGAGCUAAGUGCUUUAUUUAUGUAGAUUGUCUGAACAAAUCUCCUAAUGACAAUGAGAAUCGGGCACUAUUUUUAAAUCAUCAUUUAACAAUCAGGACAACUGUGGCUUAAAGAGGGUAAAUAGCUGCAUAAGUUUAUACAGAAAUAACAAGAGUCGUAGGGUCCAUUAUUUUCAAAGCCCCUUCUCUCCACUUACAUACUAAGCUGCCUCCAAAUCACCAACUCCUGUGCAUUUCUGCUUGAUUUCAGGGGAAUAAUGCUGUACCCAAGAGACCCACGGGCAUUUGCCUCGAACUCCACGAGGAUGUUUUCUCUUUACAGUUUCUAAGAACAGUGAUAAACAUCAGGAAACAAACAAACAAACAAACAAAAAAACAGUGUUUCCUAGAAUCAUCAAGUAUCAGGAGGUUCCAAGAAGCUGGUUUCUGACCAGCAUUUGUAAUCUGUUAACAGCUGGAUGGAAACAGAAUGAGAUGCAUUUUUAACUCUACAGGAAUAUUUUAAAAACUAGGAGGUUCAUGGAACUGGAGCACCUCUGGGAUUUUGCAUGGGAGAUUUGCAAGUCUUACCUUGUGUUUUCAUUUGUGCAUGAGAUGUAAUGGAAAAAAAAAAAAA